rnacentral:rRNA from 1 species
AUUGAACGCUGGCGGCAGGUCUAACACAUGCAAGUCGAGCGGAUGAAGGGAGCUUGCUCCUGGAUUCAGCGGCGGACGGGUGAGUAAUGCCUAGGAAUCUGCCUGGUAGUGGGGGAUAACGUCCGGAAACGGGCGCUAAUACCGCAUACGUCCUGAGGGAGAAAGUGGGGGAUCUUCGGACCUCACGCUAUCAGAUGAGCCUAGGUCGGAUUAGCUAGUUGGUGGGGUAAAGGCCUACCAAGGCGACGAUCCGUAACUGGUCUGAGAGGAUGAUCAGUCACACUGGAACUGAGACACGGUCCAGACUCCUACGGGAGGCAGCAGUGGGGAAUAUUGGACAAUGGGCGAAAGCCUGAUCCAGCCAUGCCGCGUGUGUGAAGAAGGUCUUCGGAUUGUAAAGCACCUUAAGUUGGGAGGAAGGGCAGUAAGUUAACACCUUGCUGUUUUGACGUUACCAACAGAAUAAGCACCGGCUAACUUCGUG